rnacentral:tRNA from 1 species
GGUGGAAUUGGUAGACACGAAGGACUUAAAAUCCUUUGGCCAUUGCGGCCGUGCCGGUUCGAGUCCGGCC